rnacentral:rRNA from 1 species
AUGUCGACUGGAAAUCCGAUACUUCGAUGUGCAUGCGGCAUGCCAUGCACCAGGAAAGCUGGAUCUGCGGUGGCGAGGCAGGACAAGUUCUACUUCAGCUGCGUGAACUAUGGGGUUCAGAGGAGAGCGUGCGAGGUCUACGUGUGGGAGGAUGUACUGGAGGAAUACGUGCAGAAGAGAAUCCAAGCUGAACGGGUGAAGCUGCGGGAGGUGACAGAAGACCGAGACGAGUUCAUCGAGGAAAUGGCUGAUAGGAACAGGGAGAUCAGGAACCUCAGGACGAUGAACAAGAAAAUGGUGUCUGGUUCGUCCUCAUCUGAUUACAAGCAAUCCGAUGAGGAAUCAUCAGAAGGGUUCGAUGUGUAUCCUACACAACACAUCGGUACACCAGAAGAGUUAGAGUCAGAUGGCGCUAGAAAGGGCAAGAAGAAGGCAUAA